UACGGAGGGUGCAAGCGUUAUCCGGAUUUACUGGGUUUAAAGGGUGCGUAGGUGGGUUUGUAAGUCAGCGGUGAAAUCUCUAGGCUUAACCUGGAAAUUGCCAUUGAUACUAUAGAUCUUGAAUUAUCUGGAGGUGAGCGGAAUAUGUCAUGUAGCGGUGAAAUGCUUAGAUAUGACAUAGAACACCAAUUGCGAAGGCAGCUCACUACGGAUAUAUUGACACUGAGGCACGAAAGCGUGGGGGAUCAAACAGG
rnacentral:rRNA from 1 species